GCAAGCAGCUAGCUCUCUGCAGCUCUCACAUAGUCACCUAUUGAAGCCAAGCAGGGCUGCGCCUGGUGAGUACCUGGAUGGGAGACCACAUGGGAAAGCUAGGUAGCUGUCGGAA
ensembl:rRNA 5S_rRNA 5S ribosomal RNA